GACGAACGCUGGCGGCGUGCUUAACACAUGCAAGUCGAACGGAAAGGCCCUGCUUUGGUGGUGUGCUCGAGUUGCGAACGGGUGAGUAACGCGUGGGUAACCUGCCCUGGACUUUGGGAUAACUUUAGGAAACUGGGGCUAAUACCGCAUAGGAGCUCCUGCUGCAUGGUGGGGGUUGAAAAGUUUCGGUGGCUGGGGUAGGAGUUGGGGCUUAUCAGCAUUAUGGAGGGGGAGUGGUUUACCAAGGCCUUGACGGGUAGCCGGCCUGAGAGGGUGACCGGCCACAUUGGGACUGGGAUGCGGCCCAGACUCCUACUGGAGGCAGCGGUGGGGAAUAUUGCACGAUGGGCGGAAGCCUGAUGCAGCAUCGCCGCGUGGUGGAUGACUGCCUUCAGAUUGUAAAGCGUUUUCGCCUGUGACGAAGCGUGAGUGACGGUAAUGUGUAAAGAAGCACCGGCUAACUACGUG
rnacentral:rRNA from 1 species